UACAUAGGGAGCAAGCGUUAUCCGGAUUUAUUGGGUGUAAAGGGUGCGUAGACGGGAAAUUAAGUUAGUUGUGAAAUCCCUCGGCUUAACUGAGGAACUGCAACUAAAACUGAUUUUCUUGAGUACUGGAGAGGAAAGUGGAACUCCUAGUGUAGCGGUGAAAUGCGUAGAUAUUAGGAGGAACACCAGUGGCGAAGGCGGCCUGCUGGGCUUUUACUGACGCUGAGGCUCGAAAGUGUGGGGAGCAAACAGG
rnacentral:rRNA from 1 species